UUCAUGGCAAUCAAACAAAUAAGAAUAAAUGCCUCAUACAUCAUACAAGUAGGCAACAAUUAUUAAUUAGACAUAUAAGAUAUAUAAACAAGUAUAUGAUCAAGUCAAAUAAUCAAAGAAUGAAAUAAUAAGACAUUAAAAAAUUUAUGACAAGUAUAAACAUGUUAAACAAUCAAACAAUAGAAGCAUGGAUGAAAGAAACAAGUGUAAAAAAUAUCAGAUGAAAUCCGACAAGUGAAACUAUGC
rnacentral:lncRNA from 1 species